rnacentral:rRNA from 1 species
UACGUAGGGUGCGAGCGUUGUCCGGAAUCAUUGGGCGUAAAGAGCGCGUAGGCGGCCCGAUAAGUCCGCUGUGAAAGUCAAGGGCUCAACCCUUGAAUGCCGGUGGAUACUGUCGGGCUAGAGUCCGGAAGAGGCGAGUGGAAUUCCUGGUGUAGCGGUGAAAUGCGCAGAUAUCAGGAGGAACACCGGUGGCGAAGGCGGGUCUCUGGGCCGAUACUGACGCUGAGGAGCGAAAGCGUGGGGAGCGAACAGG